rnacentral:tRNA from 1 species
AAAUACAAGUGGAUCUAUUAUUGCAAAAAAAUCGAUAUUAAAUAGUUAUUCUGGUAUAGUAAAAUUU